rnacentral:lncRNA from 1 species
ACAGUGCAAGAAAACAAACUCGAACAUAGGCCACAGCUCUUUUAAAGGGACAGCAUAGCUUCCUGGUCAUUGCCAGAUUAAUUUCUCAAUGUUUCAUAACUCAAGUAUGUGCUGUCUUCAGCAGUAGGAUCUUACAAACAAGCUCUGAAGGGCAACCAAGAACAACGGCUAUGUCCUAAGAAAUUUUCCUCCAAAGUAGUGGCCUUGCAGAAAACUGCUACACAACAGCCACAUCAUCAUGAAUCCUCAACAGGGAACCAGAUGUUAGAACAUUGAGGCCUAUGGAAGAUACCUUCUAUUCAAGCUACAACAUCCUCCUCAAAUACUUGCCUCACCAUGGGAGAAGACAAUGGGAGACUCACAGAGCCACGGGAGGAAUGAUGAGAGAAGAGGAGACAUCCUUGUGGGUGAACCAGAGGUAACAGUAUGGAGUAAGGAGCAGAAUAAAGCAAUCCUUUGCUUGAAUAACCACUCGAAGGGACCGGUAUCAGCUCAAGACAUCCCAUAGACCAAGUUCUCAGGACCAAGGAGAUAUAUUUGCCUCUGAGGGACAAAGGACAGGAAGAAGAGACAAAGAUAGAGGACAAAGACUGGAUGAAGGAAAGGGGAAAAAGAAACAAGGGAGAGGGGAAAAGCUAUUUGGGGGGAGGAGAGGGGAAGGGGAAGGGACUAACUGGAGAAGGGUGCAGAGGAUGAGAGGGCUUUGGGAACUUUGGAGAGUGAGAGAGUAUGCAAAUUGUGGUCAGGGAAAGGAAGAGAGGCAGGGCUGAGUAGGUCUUCAAGAAUUUGGAUAGGCAUGGGCCCAAUGGGCUUUUUUUUUU